rnacentral:lncRNA from 1 species
AGCUACUUGUCAUCGGUUACAUGAGGAUUCAGGAUCUCAAUGAUUAAUCUUCAAUGACAACAAGACCAUGAAGUCUCUUAUUUUUGGAGAAGACUCUGCUGGUGCUUUCAGAUUCAGAACUGCACAAGGAGGUUACCAAGAUAAAUCAGAUCUAAGCUAUUACAAGGCUGCAGGUGUGUCCUCCUUCCCUAGUUUUCGGCUAUCUUAGGUAGCACUCAGAACAAUCUUCCUCUGUGCAAUCAAAAUAAUCCACUUAUGUUGUAUCUGUUGAAGUUGGCCAGACCCGUAUACUGUGUGAGUAAUGCAUUGUGAUUUCUUCCAGCAACAUAAUCACAAUAAAGAUUUCUUGUGGAAGAGGGAUGAUCUUCUUAAUUUGUGAUGGCACCAAUGUCUGGCAAGCUGGCAUGUAUGUAUGUUCAGGUUGUAGUUGCCAUCCAUUGUUUUCCUUGGAUUCACAAAAUAUCUGGACCUAAUCUGUAGCGUUGUUGUUGAUAAUACUUGUUACUGGUGACAUACUUACCACAGCAUGGGCAAUUGGGCAUAUGCUCUUGCAUUGAUGACACAUUAAUAUGUGAAUUUCUACCCUCCUAGAGCCAAUAUUCUUGCUGUGUUAGGAUCUCCUAAAGUGAACAUGAUGUCUGCUUUUAAUUGAAGUUGUUGUAAUCAUGGUAGAAUAUAUUGAUUUGUGCUAUAAUGAUUCCUAUGACACUACAGUUUUGCUUUCACAUUCAUUUCUUGAUUGCGUUAUAUUUUUUAUCUUGUAUCUGACUUAACAACUUUAGCUAUUUAAUAGGUUAUGUGUACGCGUCAUCCAAUCCUGUUAUCACCCGGUUGUUUUUGGGCCUUGUCGUCACCUUGUAAAACAUUUCGAACUUUUUCUACGCCACUUUUGAAAAGAUGGUUCUGUGCAUCAAAUGAUGCAGAUGCCGGGGGUUUAACCUCCUUUCUAGAAAAGAUAAACAACAACUUUUGCUAUUUGUUUCCUGGAAGUAGAAUAGGCAGAUUGGCAAGCUGACAGGUAUGUAAUGUCAGAUUGGUUUCCUCUUUGACUUGGUUCAGAUUUGAACAUUUGAGGCAUUUAACCUGAUAUAUCCCUAUAUGGCAGAGGAACAUGUAUGCACAGUUAUCUGGUUAAGUGUCACUGCUCUUGUUAGUUAAUAACACCAAGUUUGCUGCAUUGACUGUAGCAGAGUCCCUAUUCUCAAAAAAAAAAGACUAUAGCAGAGUCCCAAGUGUUUUGAGGUGCUUCUCGAAAGAACUGCUUUGUUUGGUCAUGUGUGUUUAAAUUAGAUAGGUUAACAAUAUGAAAUAAGACUUGAGAAGGAUUGCUUGGAAAGAUUCUGCUUAUUUCACUUUUCUCACUUCUCAUGCCAAUAUCCUAGGUAGCUAGCUCAAUGCGAAAAUAAGCAGUUCCCAUUGCCAUUACAACCCCAGGUAUGAUGGUGGUUCUCUACUUUUGACGGGCCAAUUCAAGUUGAAGAUCAAAUCCGUCAUCAACAACUUGCCAGCACACUCUCAGUCAUACCAAAUUACCCAUGGCUCCAUGAGGGUUCAGGAUCUCCACUGUUAAGCUUCAAUUACCAUCAGGCCAUCCAACCGAUCAAUGAGGUCUCUUUAUUUCGAGAUUGCUGUAGUGGCCUCAGAUUCAGAAGUGCACACGGUGGUCUAAGAUAUUACGAUCCAGGUGAGUGGUCCUUCUCUAGUUUUCUUGCUUAAGUUGUACCCACAAGAGCACACACUGACUUGACUUGUAGGUUCACUGGCUGGCUCUUGAGAUGGCCUCAUCAGCAACAAGAUUAGCAUUCCCCACUCUCACCAAGCCAUGACGCUGUUUUGAUGAUUUCAGAUACUAAAGCUCACAACCAGGAAGUCACUACAGGUCCAAAUCUAGCAGGAUCUCCAUCGAUUACGAGACAGGUUUGCUGCCCUUAAUUUGGUUUGCUUCCUACUCCCUCCGUUCCAAAAUAGAUGACUCAACUUUGUACUAACUUUAGUACAAAGUUAAUACAAAGUUGGAUCAUCUAUUUUGGAACGGAGGGAGUACUCUCUAGAUGGCUACGUCAAUGCAGAAAUGAGUUGUUUCCUUCAUUACAAGCCAGGUAUGGUUGUUGUUCUCUGAUAAUAACUGGUAAAAGGGAACAAGGAAGACACGUCAAGUUAAAGAUCAGAUCCGGCUACUUGUCAUCAGCAACAAGCUUACACACUCUCAGACACAGCCAUGACUCCAUGAGGGUUCAGGAUGUCCAUGGUUAACCUUCAAUGACAACCUCAGCAGCCAAGCUAUGAGGUCUAGUUUUCUGGUGAGGGUCCAUGAUAAGCCAACAUUCUGACGGUUUCAGAUUCAGAAAUGCACAAGGAGGUCACCAACAUCGAUCAGAUCUAAGCCAUUUAGGCAGGUGUGUUGUCCUUUCUAAUUUUCUGGCUAUCUUAGUUUGUAUUAAGAACAAUAUAUCUUCCUUGGUGCAAACAAAAAACACUCCUCUAUCUUUUGAAAGUUAGCAAGCCUAGUAUACUUUGUGACUAAUACGUUGUCAUUUCUUCCAGCUUUGUAAGCACAAUAAAGAUCUCUCCCGGAAGGACGGGCUUCUUAUUUUUUGAAGAUGCCAAGGUCUUUGAGAGUGGGAAGAUAUUUUCAGGUUUUAGUUCUCGUCCAUCAUUUCCCUUGGAUGCACAAAUAAUCUGGAAUUAAUCUGUAGCAUAGUUGUCCACAGUGCUCAUUACUGGUGACAUACU